rnacentral:rRNA from 1 species
GAUGAACGCUGGCGGCGUGCCUAAUACAUGCAAGUCGAGCGAACGGACGAGAAGCUUGCUUCUCUGAUGUUAGCGGCGGACGGGUGAGUAACACGUGGAUAACCUACCUAUAAGACUGGGAUAACUUCGGGAAACCGGAGCUAAUACCGGAUAAUAUUUUGAACCGCAUGGUUCAAAAGUGAAAGACGGUCUUGCUGUCACUUAUAGAUGGAUCCGCGCUGCAUUAGCUAGUUGGUAAGGUAACGGCUUACCAAGGCAACGAUGCAUAGCCGACCUGAGAGGGUGAUCGGCCACACUGGAACUGAGACACGGUCCAGACUCCUACGGGAGGCAGCAGUAGGGAAUCUUCCGCAAUGGGCGAAAGCCUGACGGAGCAACGCCGCGUGAGUGAUGAAGGUCUUCGGAUCGUAAAACUCUGUUAUUAGGGAAGAACAUAUGUGUAAGUAACUGUGCACAUCUUGACGGUACCUAAUCAGAAAGCCACGGCUAACUACGUGCCAGCAGCCGCGGUAAUACGUAGGUGGCAAGCGUUAUCCGGAAUUAUUGGGCGUAAAGCGCGCGUAGGCGGUUUUUUAAGUCUGAUGUGAAAGCCCACGGCUCAACCGUGGAGGGUCAUUGGAAACUGGAAAACUUGAGUGCAGAAGAGGAAAGUGGAAUUCCAUGUGUAGCGGUGAAAUGCGUAGAGAUAUGGAGGAACACCAGUGGCGAAGGCGACUUUCUGGUCUGUAACUGACGCUGAUGUGCGAAAGCGUGGGGAUCAAACAGGAUUAGAUACCCUGGUAGUCCACGCCGUAAACGAUGAGUGCUAAGUGUUAGGGGGUUUCCGCCCCUUAGUGCUGCAGCUAACGCAUUAAGCACUCCGCCUGGGGAGUACGACCGCAAGGUUGAAACUCAAAGGAAUUGACGGGGACCCGCACAAGCGGUGGAGCAUGUGGUUUAAUUCGAAGCAACGCGAAGAACCUUACCAAAUCUUGACAUCCUUUGACAACUCUAGAGAUAGAGCUUUCCCCUUCGGGGGACAAAGUGACAGGUGGUGCAUGGUUGUCGUCAGCUCGUGUCGUGAGAUGUUGGGUUAAGUCCCGCAACGAGCGCAACCCUUAAGCUUAGUUGCCAUCAUUAAGUUGGGCACUCUAAGUUGACUGCCGGUGACAAACCGGAGGAAGGUGGGGAUGACGUCAAAUCAUCAUGUCCCUUAUGAUUUGGGCUACACACGUGCUACAAUGGACAAUACAAGGGGCAGCGAAACCGCGAGGUCAAGCAAAUCCCAUAAAGUUGUUCUCAGUUCGGAUUGUAGUCUGCAACUCGACUACAUGAAGCUGGAAUCGCUAGUAAUCGUAGAUCAGCAUGCUACGGUGAAUACGUUCCCGGGUCU